GACGAACGCUGGCGGCGUGCCUAACACAUGCAAGUCGAGCGGGGAUUGUGGAGAGCUUGCUCAAAACAAUUCUAGCGGCGGACGGGUGAGUAACGCGUGAGCAACCUGCCUAUCACAGGGGAAUAACGCACCGAAAGGUGUGCUAAUACCGCAUGAGACCACAGGACCGCAUGGUCAAGGGGUCAAAGAUUUAUCGGUGAUAGAUGGGCUCGCGUCUGAUUAGCUGGUUGGUGAGGUAACGGCCCACCAAGGCGACGAUCAGUAGCCGACCUGAGAGGGUGAUCGGCCACAUUGGAACUGAGAAACGGUCCAAACUCCUACGGGAGGCAGCAGUGGGGAAUAUUGGGCAAUGGGCGCAAGCCUGACCCAGCAACGCCGCGUGAAGGAAGAAGGUCUUCGGGUCGUAAACUUCUAUCCUUGGUGAAGAUAAUGACGGUAGCCAAGAAGGAAGCCCGGCUAACUACGUG
rnacentral:rRNA from 1 species